GUGCUCACUUCGGCAACGCAUAGCCUAAAAUUGGAAUGAUACAGAGAUUAGCAUGGCCCCUGCGCAAGGAUGACAGGAAAAUUCAUGAAGCGUUCCAUAAAGGG